CCUACGGGGGGCAGCAGUAGGGAAUCUUCCACAAUGGGCGAAAGCCUGAUGGAGCAACGCCGCGUGGGUGAAGAAGGUCUUCGGAUCGUAAAACCCUGUUGUUAGAGAAGAAAGUGCGUGAGAGUAACUGUUCACGUUUCGACGGUAUCUAACCAGACAGCCACGGCUAACUACGUGCCAGCAGCCGCGGUAAUACGUAGGUGGCAAGCGUUAUCCGGAUUUAUUGGGCGUAAAGGGAACGCAGGCGGUCUUUUAAGUCUGAUGUGAAAGCCUUCGGCUUAACCGGAGUAGUGCAUUGGAAACUGGGAGACUGGAGUGCAGAAGAGGAGAGUGGAACUCCAUGUGUAGCGGUGAAAUGCGUAGAUAUAUGGAAGAACACCAGUGGCGAAAGCGGCUCUCUGGUCUGUAACUGACGCUGAGGUUCGAAAGCGUGGGUAGCAAACAGGAUUAGAUACCCUGGUAGUC
rnacentral:rRNA from 1 species